rnacentral:rRNA from 1 species
UUCACGGAGAGUUUGAUCCUGGCUCAGGACGAACGCUGGCGGCGUGCAUCACACAUGCAAGUGGAGCGACGAACCAGGCUUCGGCCUGGGGCAGAGCCGCGAACGGGUGAGUAACACGUGGGUAACCUGCC